rnacentral:lncRNA from 1 species
AACAAACAAUUUGGUCACCAGAGACAUGCUUGAAGCAGCUUUGUCAUAAUUUUGAGUGUUGUCUCCAUGGGGAUCCCCCAUCAAACGCCUGCUCCAACACAUCUUCCAUUCGCUUGGCCAGCAGAAUCUGGUGAGGGAAGAUGGUCAAUUGUUUUCUCAGUUGCCUUAUUUAUAUGUUUGAGACAAAAAAUCCGAUCAAUGGGAAAAAUGUUAUCACUAAUGCAAGCACUCAAAUCAUUCUUAGGUGUCAUCCAGAUUCUAGUUCGAAAAAGAAUGCCUGAAUCCCCCAGUAAUUGCCAAAACUUAUGGGCAAACAGAACCAAAUUCAAACUACAUGUUAAGAUGCUGACUGAAAAUAUAGAAGUGCAGAGAUAUUAGAGUAAUGUUUGCUUCAAAUACGUGGGAAAAAAUACCUCUAGGUUGGAAAGCACAGACGCAGGUACUUCAACUAAGUCCUUUAGAUUUCUCUCUGGUAGAAUAACUCUCUUGAUACCAUGACGGUGUGCUGCUAGUAUCUGCACAAUUGAUAUUCGGGGAAAAAAUGUUGAAAAGAAUGAGAAAUAAAAGCAGUUUCAGUCAAUCUUUUUGUUAUUGCAUAUUCUAUGACGAGAAAAGAUUUUGAUCAAACAUAAGCAAAUAUUAUUAUCGAUGAUGAACAUAUUAUUCUCUUGCUAUAUAUAUACACAGUAGCUCAUGAAAUAAAACACACCUUAUCCUUAAUACCACCGACAGGUAACACAAGACCUCUCAGUGUCAUUUCUCCAGUCAUUGCGGUAUCUGCUCUUACACAUUUCUGACUAAACAAAGAAACCAGUGCCGUUACAAGCGUCACACCGGCUGAUGGCCCAUCCUUUGGUACAGCCCCAGCUGGAAAAUGUAUAUGAAUAUCUC